AGUGGGCGUGCAGGAGAAGCUGUAGGUCAGGAGGUAGAGUUGGCAGUGGGCGUGCAGGAGAAGCUGUAGGUCGGAGAGGUAGAGGUGGCAGUGGGCGUGCAGGAGAAGCUGUAGGUCAGGGGGUAGAGGUGGCAGUGGGCGUGCAGGAGAAGCUGUAGGUCAGAGUGGAUAGGUGGCAGUGGGCGUGCAGGAGAAGCUGUAGGUCAGGAGGUAGAGGUGGCAGUGGGCGUGCAGGAGAAGCUGUAGGUCAGGAGGUAGAGGUGGCAGUGGGCGUGCAGGAGAAGCUGUAGGUCAGGAGGUAGAGUUGGCAGUGGGCGUGCAGGAGAAGCUGUAGGUCGGAGAGGUAGAGGUGGCAGUGGGCGUGCAGGAGAAGCUGUAGGUCGGGAGGUAGAGGUGGCAGUGGGCGUGCAGGAGAAGCUGUAGGUCAGAGAGGUAGAGGUGGCAGUGGGCGUGCAGGAGAAGGUGUAGGUCGG
rnacentral:lncRNA from 1 species